UUAGUGUCUGGACUCCAUUUAGCCAGAACCUAUAUGGAGCCUGUGCUAAAUCCUCCCUCGACAAGCUCUAGCCUAUGGAUUUUUUAAGUCAGUACGACAAAUUACAAGGGUGAAGUUUAUUGUGUGCUCCUUUUUUUGCAGGAACAUGGACAAAGCAAGUACUCAAGACAGACAAGGAACAUAGCAUUUGUUCUACUCUACAGAUGGGGAACUGAGGCAGAGACCAAAAAUAGAGGUCCAGUGGAAGGACUCCCGUUUCCUUUCAGUGAAGGCCCAGCCACAUAUGAGCUUCUGACAACAAGAUAUUGUAAAGGAAGUGCCCUCCCUACGAGAAUGAGUUCAUUUCUCACCCUCUUUGGAGCACAGUAUGUUUGUACAGGCCUUCCGGCAAUAGAAGCAACAUUUGGAACUGGGAACACAGGUGUGAAGAAACAUGCCUAAACUUAUUUGAGAGAGAGCAGAAGAAUGACCUGAGUCAUCGAAUAGGAUUGGAUGCUUAUCUUGGAUGCUUAUCUUGCUGAGAUGAUUUGACCCCAGCUGACUUCCUGCCUCUUGGGCAGGGGGAUGGACCCAAUGAUCUUGUGAGGUCCCUUCCAGCCCUAAUGUCUACUAAAUCUAUUAAAUAGAUCUCUGAUGACUAAUUCCCUGAA